UAAUAAGUGUUUUAUGGCACUUUUUAAAUCCAUAUCCACCUUGCUGUGCAAUGUCGGUCGAUCUUCUUCUUUGAGGAUCGACCAAACAUCAACCUUUAUCUUUUAACUCUUUGUCUGAAAAAUAUUAUGAAUAAACAAUUCAAAAUA
rnacentral:misc_RNA from 1 species